GCUGGGAUGGAGCGCGCCGUGGCCCGCUGGCCUUGGCCGCAGCUCCUCGGGAGAGCCGGGGCGCCCGCGCGAGAACCUCCCUACCUGGGUCUCUCUUCAAGGAUGACAUCAUCCGUUUGCCUCCCUGUCUUCAAGGACCACCUCUGGAUGCCAAGUUGAUGCCAAGGUUCUUGCUGCUCACCUCCACCUCAUGAGCAUGCUAGGAGCAUGGAUUCCUGGAUGCCACCAGCAUACAAAGCAGCCACUGGCAGUGACCCCCAGGACCAGGACGACGAAGGAUGAAGAGGACCAGAACUGACCAGCUGUCCCUCUUGGCUAACGGCUUAAACCAAUGCCCUAGUGAGGGGGCAUUGGUCAUUAACGCCGGACCUUUGCUAUGCUUCUGCCUUGAUGCUAUGACUGCUUUUCUAUGUGUCUCUGCUUGUGUUAACAUGUCAGCGACCUGGAGGGUUUCCAACCCCAGGGAGGUGUCAGUCUUUCUCAGUCCACCCUGUUGUUACCCCCGUGAUGUUCUGAAUGGAAGAGUCCCUUUGGGAACUUCUCAGGAGGGGGACCUGGGCCAAGGGCUUGACCAGCAUCUCACUGGCAAUUCCAAGGCCCAGGGUGGGCUUCUGGAAUGAGCAUGUGCCCCACGCCAUGCUACUGAACUGCCAAGGGCAUCCCCACCACCUUUGAGAUCACCCUGUCCUUUCUGGGGAACGGGGUUGAGAAGAGCAACCUCCCAGGGUGUUGUGAGUAUUGAAUGAGUCCAAGCAGCCUCGGGUAGGGCCAGGCAUAGAGGAGGCAGUCAACAAAUGUUUGUUGAAACAGUUUGGUUGGCCAGUCCAUCCCUACCCCUCUCACCUGUCUUACACCUCUUAUUUAUUCUCCCACAGCGCUCCGGACAGCCCUAGUCCACGGGGCUCUCCCUGCACCAGGUAGGGGCUGCACCCAGAUGGGUGCUGGGCUGACUUGAGUAAGGACAUGCAUGGUGCAUGUGGUCAUUUCCAGAGCACUUUCGAUGUUCUGUGCCUAUGUUAUUUCUAUGUCCGAUGUCCAUGUGAGUGAGGCCACCUCGUUUACAGGUGAGAAUGAAUUUGGCAUCGAUUUGAGUAAUUCUAAAAGAUGGAGAGCAAGAAGACAUAUUUGAACAGAGUGCCCCUGCCUAGGGGACGGGACUGAUUCACACUUACAGUGAGGUCACUGAGGCUGGAGGAGCGUAAGCAUUUUGUCACGUUGCUGGCAAGAGAAGGGGUCAGAGUUGGACCCUGGGUGCCAUUUGUGGCUGCCCCUUACCCCCUGCCCCAGAGUUAUACUAAGAGCCCUUUGAUUUCCAAUCAAAUGUUUGACAAUGGGGCAGCCUGUUUGAAAUCCCAGCUGCCCAGGGUGGUCUUGGGGGUCUUGGGUGGCCCCAAUGCUGGUACCAUGUGCUGGCCUCACCUCUCAAUAACGGUGUGACCUUAAAUAUGUUGCUUAACUUCUCCAAGUCUCAGUUCUUUUCAUGGCCUAAAUGGGGAUUAGGGGAAAAAAAAAAAAAAAAAAAAAAAAGCAACACAAUAAAACACCCGCAUUUAUCUACCCCACAGGGCGCUUUUGAAGGCCAAAUGAUGUAACCACUAUGAAAGUGCUUUGUAAAUUGCUGUGGAAAUUGCGAGAUACUUAACACCAGGAAGCUGUCCCUGAUUAUCGCAUGCCCAGCCCUGUCCCCCCUCAGUUAAUAACAGCUAGCACCCACUAGGUGCUGUGUUUGCGCUCAAUAAAUAAAUUCCAGAAGAAAUAAAAACAGAAUUAAUUCAACAAACAUUUUCUGGACCGCCUACAAUAUGCCCCGCACACCAGGCCUGGUAUGUGAUACAAAGAUGAUGAAAACAGUCUCUUGGAAGCUAAUUGGGGUCCUCGUUUGACCAGCACUUUCUUUCGUCCCCUUUUAAGCCAACCAGUUUUGUCCGGACGAGACAAAAACAACUUGGGCUGCUUUAGAGAAACCCGGCUUGGUGUAGACAAUAGCUCCCGGGCUUCUGAAAGGGGCUGAUUGGAUUAUGUGGCAAAUGAAGGUGGAAGGAUGACUUGGAAGGUGACAAAUGAAGUGGGCGGAGAUCUGCUGUGAGUUAAUCCAGGCUAUUAGGAGGGACCUUUUGUCUUCCAGAGGCUGGCAGGAGCUUUUACCACUGGGUUUUACAUCCUUAAUGUAAGGACGCAUAGUUUAUGGUCAGUGAAAACCCAGGCCCCAGCGAGAUUUGAGUGGGCUGUAAAAUUGAGCGUCCUGCUACCAGUGAGUAAUUACAGGGAGCAUUUAUGUCUCCCUUUGCAGUUGGCAAAGGCCUUUUUGCAACCAUCAAUUCAUUUGAACCUCACAACUCCCUGUCCUGACCCGGGGCUGGCCUGAGCCUCCUAGGGGAAGAGGCCGUCAAGCGGCCUUCAGAUUAGGGCAUCUGAGGCAUCUGACAUAGUAAAGGGAGAGGCGUCCCCUGCCCUGGCCCCUCCUGUCUCAGACCUGGCCUUCCCGGCCAGCAGCGAUUCCCUCCGAAUUCCUAACUUUGCUCUGUCGGCAGCUCUGAGCCUCCGGGCCCCUCCUGCCCUGCUUUCUAGCCACUCUCUCUUUCCUUUCGCAGCCAAGCUUCUCGAAAGGCCUGUCUACACUCGCUGUCUUCCUUCCUCACCUCCAAUUUCCUCUCCAACCCACUGCUUCCUGACCUCUUCUACUCCGCUGAUCGGCUGUCACUAAGGUAAUGACUUUUCUGGAGGUUAACCCUGGACACGUUUCCGGCUCAUGGGCACAUGACACACAGACACGUAUCCAGUGUUUCUCUCACAUUUUCCAGCUCCAGUCACUUCUAUUGACAGACACGCCCCUGUAGACUUCACAGAGUCACCUGCUCCUGGCCUUCCUCCUUCUUAGUUUCUCCUAGGAACUGGAGUAUCCAGACCCCUCACCUUCUAGAACCUGCCUCUUAGCAUCUCACCCUGGGUUGGAGUCUAAACCACCUAGAGCUGAGGCCUUGGGGUAGGUCAGUUUUUCCAAGCCACCUUUUUCUCAGUUGCAGAAUAAGGUGUCUUUACCUGGCAGGUCAGGUGGGCCGUCUUGCAGGUAAGAUUUUAAGUCCCACUAUUUGAGGGACUUGAAAUAAGUUCAAUAAAGUGUUCACGAGAAAAUACAAUUGGGGUCAUCAUCAGAUUUUCUUGUAGGUUAAGUUCCCACAGGGAGGACCAAAGAGAGAAGAAAGAAGUAGGGGGAGGGGGCAGUGGGAGAGAAAGAAGCAAAGAAUAGAAAAAGGCACCAAAGACAAAAAAGUAGGAAAGGGAGACUCAGAAAAUAUGAAAACCCACCAAAAAAAAAAAAAAAAAAAAAAAAAACCACAUCCAGAGAAAGAGGUUUCUUCUUGGGUUAGGCAAAAAGAAAGUAAACAGGAAAAAGGUUUAAAAUUGAUUAUCCCAGUGACAAAUCCCAGGAAGCUUUCAAAUCAAAUUGCCCCAUUUUGGGUUUUUAACUCCUUCUAUCAGGUUUAACCUCUUUACCUCCUGCAUCCUGGUUAAACGCUCCUCAGCCCCCUCGGCUGGUGAUUAAAUCCCGAAGCUACACGGAGUCUUUCAAUGAAUGAAUGGCCAACAGAAAGAGCCCUCCCCCUCCCCCCAGCUGUGUUUUUCAGUUUUAUUCCACUUUCCGCCCUUUUCCGUUAAUGAACACAGGGCUAAUCUUGGGCCUUGUCAAGGAAGAGGCCGCAGACGUUAAUGAGGUAGCUGCUGGAUUCCAAUAUUCGCCUCAUAAGGAGCCUUCUUUGUCUGGGAAGGAAAAACACACUGAUUAUCAUAAUAAGUGCCGCAGGGCCGCGGCCGCAGGGCACGGGCUACGUGGGUCUGAAGCCACACUUCUAAUUUUGGUGCUGGAGCCCAGGAUUCAUUUUGCUUCCCAUUUAAGUCUCUGCCUCUGUCCCAGCUCGCAAUCCAUUGAGCGGGGUGGAAAGUUGCAGGCAGCUUUGGGCCACAGAUAGGGCUGCUUUGCAGAAAGUUCCUUUGUUCGACCCUACACGCAGACCAGCAAUGGGCCAGGGCGUUUCAGGCCUCUGGGAUCCGUUUUCCAAAAGCAGAGAGAUGGGGGUGCAUGUUUCCAACUCUGCCUCACACCAGACUUGUUUUUAGGACUCACUGGUGUUGAGUCUUUAAGAUCCCCAAAUGGUAGAAAAGUCAAGGCUUAGGCGUAGACCCCGUAGAAUGAUCGCAGGGUCAGUGCCCGUGGAAUGCGCCUUCCAGGUCAGGAAAUGGAUGGGUAUUGGUACCCCAGUCCCCCCACCAAGGGAAGGGCACGGUUGGGGCUCACAUUUGGCCCCCACAUAGGAUGAGAGGGGUGAGAGGGCCAGCUAUUUGUCAGGACCACUCAUCCAGCACCAGAACCUGUAGUCACUCCUUUUACCCCCUAAAUGUGCCGCUCCCAUAUGUCCUGCAGGCCCCGCCCCCAAAUUCUCCCUUUCUGUCCUGAUUCUUGGACUCCCAGGAGCCCAUGAAUGUCUUUAUUUUUAAUUGUUAUUACCUUUUUUUUGGCCGCACCCUGCGGCAUGUGACAUCUUAGUUCCCCGACCAGGGAUCGAACCCGUACCCCCUGCAUUGGAAGUGCGGAGUCUUAACCACUGGACCACCAGGGAAGUCCCCCAGUAAUGUUUUUAGAGCAAGUGUGCCUGAGUUGGAAACUUCCCAGCUGCCUAUGCACACGGGACCCCUGUGCCCCACUCUUCCAGCCCAGAGGUCCUGUCAGGCUUCCUGAGUGGGCCCCGUGACUCCCAGGGCCCACUGGUCUCAGCAGCCACCAUUAAGUCAAUCCCAGAGGCUCAGGAGAUCCCCUCGACACCAAUUCUUGUGAUUUUCUUUUUUUUCUGCUUUUAUUGCCCCCUUCUUUUCUCCAUCUACCUUUUCUUCUCAACUCCAUCACCAUUUCCUCAUCUGGGCCUCUGGGGGUGUCCUAGGCGAGCCACUCCUCCUUUGGGUGUCCCAGCACCAGCCUGGCACAAAGUGGGGUUCAGUAAGAGUAUGUGGGAUGUAUGUUUGGACAGGUGAGUCAAUGAAGGAACUUGACUGCCAUACUUGAGCUGCUAGGCGGGAGUUGUUGAGGAUGCAAAAAGUUUUAGGUCAAAAGGGUGGAGGGUGGAUGUCCUUUUACCCAGAGGAGUGGGCGUUGCCCCACCCCCAGCCCCAUUUGAGUGGGGGCCUCACCAGUCUCACCCCUUCGUUCACUCAUGCGUCCAUCCCGUCAUCCAACAGUUGAUCCUUACUGAACAAGCCCACGGCCCGGCCCCGGGCUGGGCACCUGCCACCCUAGCGCAUCCCUUGAUGGCCUCUGCGUCCCCGGGGGGUGGCGGGCCAGGGGGUUGCUUCUGCCCAGGGUGGCCUCGUGGCUCCCGGGCGCGGGAGCAGCGGACUCCCGCUCUGCAGGCAAGGCAGGCGGGGUGGGGUGCGAGGGGCGGGCCUGGUUUGGCCGCUUGGCCCCCUUUUAAUUCACACCCCGGGGGGCGGGCGCUGGCCGCGAACCUGCCCUUCUCCAGGGCUCGGCCGCAGGUCCCAGUCAGCCCCUCCGGCCCUCUUGGCCUCCCACCCCAUCCCGUAGCUGAGUGCUCAUGGCUGAUCUGGACCCCCACACCUGAAGUUCAGGACUGAGGUGGUGGCACAGGGGCAGCUGUGGUGUAUGUCCCCUUGGGCUCUGGCCACACAGGUCUCCCUCUUGAGUUGGGGUCCGUGAGCUGGACCCCUCCUUCCAUGAUGCCUUCCUCCCCCUGGGGCUAAAUCCAGCUCCUUUGCCCCCCACUUGUGGGCUGGGCCAUGUCCAAUGUCGAGGGCCCCUGGCCGGGAACCUCCAGGGAGCACUGCAGGCUCCGCCUCUGCCUGGCUGCCCACCUGCUCUGCUCUCCCUGGCGGCUCCUCCCCUGGCUCCCCCCCCACCCCUUGCUAGGUUGACUGCCCACCUGGGGCUCUGCUUGCCCGACCUGACCCAUUUCCCCUUCUCUGUGCCCCAGUCACUGGGCUUGGGACCCUCUGGGUCUCACCCAUCCAGCCCUCUGCCUAACGGGUUGGUUUUCCUCGCUGAGCCCACACCUGUGGUUACCUGGCCCUGCCUGCUGCCCCGCCCACCUCCCACCUGCUUGCCUUUUGCCUGCCUCUCCCCCAGAGCAAGGAGGCCCUCCCCCUCGGGGUCUCCCAAGUUUCCAGUUGGUCUCCAGUGCUCAUGGCACAAGCCCCGCUGGCAAACCACCUCCCCUACCAUCCUCAGAGGCCUCCUCCCAUGGGCCUGGCCUCCCAGGCUCUGAGUGCCCAUGGGCUGCAGCCAGACCUUUGUCCUGCUCCCUUCCCCCCACCCCAAUCCCCCCAGACCCCUUGUCAUCAUGUCCUACCGGGCCUGCCUGUACGGCCGUCCUGUACCCGCGAGUCCCAGGCUCUGCCUUGCCCGCGGCCUCAUGGCCGGUCUGGGGGCUGCCACCUGGCCUGUCGCUUUGCUUCUUGCACCUUUUCCUGUCAUUGCCAUCCCUACGAGCCACCUCCCUCCACCGAAAACCAGGCUGCAGGUCAGCCUGUCCUCGACACCCUGGCGGCGACAGUCGGCUGAAGAACUGGAUGGAAGAGGCAGAAGAGUUGCCCUGGACCAGCGCUCCUUCAGGACGGUCACCUGGCAUCUCAUGCCCACCUGGUGCCUCGCGACUCCCUCCUGGUUUGGGCUGAAGCCGUCUCGAAUCCUCCGUGGGACAUGACCGUGGACACGCCACCCCAUUACCCUCCAGCUCCAAAAUCACUUCAUCACGUCACUGCCUUGUGUCUCAUUGAGCGGCUAUGUCAGUCAUUCACCACAUCAACCUGCUAUUGUUACUAUUGCUAUGCAUAAUUCCUCUUUUUUUUUAAUGUUACAAAUUAUGCCACAGCUAAUGGCUUAGCACACCCACUUUUUUUUUUUCAUUCUUACGAAUUAUUUUCCCACACCUAGAAAUGAUUGUUGUUUCAUGGUAUGUCAGUUUCUCCUGCUAGGCUGUGAGCCCCUUAAGGGCAAGAAGCUUGUUGAAUUGAUCUUUGUAUCUCUAAUGCCUGAAAUGUUGUCGAUGCUAAAUGUUAGAUGAGAGGAUGGAAGGAUGGAUGAAGAUGUGAGUGAGUGGUUGGUUGGCUGAGGAGGAGAGGAUGGAAGGAUGGAUGGAGAUGUGAGUGAGCAGGUCAGUGGUUGGCUGAAGAGGAGAGGAUUGAAGGAUGGAUGAUGAUGUGAGUGAGUGGGUCAGUGGUUGGUUGGCUGUUAGAGGAGAGGAUGGAAGGAUGGUUGAAGAUGUGAGGGAGCAGGUCAGUGGUUGGCUGAGGAGGAGAGGAUUGAGGAUGGAUGAUGAUGUGAGUGAGUGCAUGGUUGGUUGGCUGUUAGAGGAGAGGAGGGAAGGAUGGGUGAAUAAAAGGAUUGGUGAAUGAACAAAUGAACUUCUUAGGGUUGAGUUUCUUGAAUGAAGGGCCAGGAAUUUUUGUAUGAAUAUUGACUAAUAGCAGAAAGCUUACAGCAUUUUAUAAUGUCCAGCGAUGUAUUAGCAUUUUGUUAUGAUGUUGCUAGUUUAUCUCUGUUAAAAAGUGUUUUUCUGUCAUUUUAACUUGCAUUGCUUUGAUUACUAAUGACGGUUGAACAUUUUCACAUGUGUUUGUUAAAAAAUUGCAUUUUAUCUUCUGUGAACUGUUUGUCCAAGUCCACCGGGUCAUGGCUUUGUGAUGAGACUGAAGGAUGGAACGAGUGUCCUCAGGACGUAGUGAGCCCUUCCUCACUGGAGGCAUUCGAGGGGCAGGCCAGGCAGAUACGCGGUGAGGGUGGCUUUAAGGAGAUUCAAUUAGUGGGAGUGGGGUUGGCCUAGAUGACCCUUCAUUUGACCUUAGGAUUUUGCUUCUUCCUGGGAAAUGGGCAUCUUCCCUUUGUCAACCCAGCAGUAUCUAAGGCCACAUCCCCCUGGUGGGCUUGUGCAUUAGUGAUUUACAAACUCUAACCUCACCCUCUAUAACUCUUGUGGGGCAGGACUAUCUCUUUGAUCCUCCAGGGUCCAGACAACUGUGCUACCAUCUUGUAGAGUUAAGUGGUGGACUUCCCACCCGCCCCCCUUCCCCAUUUCACCUUGAGGAGGACGGGCCCCUGCACCUCCAUUUGCCACCUCUCAGCGCAAUCAGCUGAGGCGAUCAGCUGCCGUUUACGUUCCAGGGGUCCUGUGAGCAAAUGUCCCCUAGGCCUGCGUGUUGGUCUUUGGGGUUUAAUUGAUUAAGGGGACAUGUCGGAUCAGGUCUGAUAGUGAAUCCUCCUUCAGAAAUGGGACAGUUCAAUUCCGUGAGCCAAGGAGCAGAAUGGACCCCAUGUUCUCCUCGGGCUUCCCCUCAUGGUCCGCCCCAAGGCUAGCUGGGGCUCAAAGGUCACCGUGGCCAUUCGGGGAGGGCACGUGACCCAAGGAGGGCUUGCCCCUGCUUUCCAGAACACCCUCUGCUCUCAGCCGAGGGCCGCAUCUUCCCACUGACCCUCUACUAUAGCACCGAGUGCUGUUUGCCUGCAUCGGAAUUUCUCACCCACGUGUUUGCCCCAGCAUCGAAGCUUGGGAGGCCAGUGAUGAGUCCCAACAUUAUUUUGAUCCAUCCAUCCAUCCGUGCAUUUGGCCUACAUCUCUUGACCUGGUGCUUUGGCCUUUCCCUUUCCUGAAAGCAAACCUUUUCCUCUUGGGCAGGCUGUGUAGUGCCAUGGGCUGUGGUUAUGAAGUGAACGCCCUUAUUUGUGGCUUCUUCCUCCGGGGUCACUGCUCUGAGCACGUCCCAGCUGGAUGUCAUCCGCCACCGUCACCCACACGGCUUCCUUCCCCAUGGCGCUUUCCCAUGCAUCACACACCGUGAGGGAACCAGGGCCAGGGUCCGAGAGCGGCCCCCCCUCCCCCGCCCGUGAGCAGAGAUGUCCCCCCAGGCCACCCUGCCUGGUGCAUGGUCCCUGCCAUGAGCUUUGCCCUCAGCCUUUCAGCUUCCUCCCACCAGAUGGCAGUGGUUGUAACUCAUCCCUUCAUUCUUUCAUCCCUUCAUUCGUUCACUCAGUCCACAAACAUUUGAAAAGAUCCGCCGGUGCUAUACUAGAGCUGGCUCACGGGACGCAUUCCGACCGUCCCCUUUCGAAGGAAAAGACGGGCAUGUUUGCCAGGGGCCAUGUUUGUGUGUCAGUAACAAGGCGGGACCCUUGAUUUAGCUCCCACCCCUAGACCCGAGUUCUGUGGAAAGUUUGAUAGCCCUCUCCGACUUUGUUCCUCCCCAAACUAAGUUGAUUAGUAAUCAGCAAACUGUGUUCCUUGGUGCUCAGAAAUCAUAGCCCGUAGCCUCAAGAGGCCAGAAUGAGAGCUGGGGGGUCUGAAACGAAAGGCUGAUUCUGGCCGUGAGCAGGCUUUCAAGUCAUUAGAACACCCUGAUCUUGCACAAAGGGGAACUUAGAGUCAUUCCUGCCCCUUUGAGAUUUGCUAACUCUGGGCUCUAUUUAGAAAAAAUUGGGGAAGAUGAUUGCUUGCUUGGAUGGCAAGGAUCGUGCCCCAUGCAGGGUCUGCACAGAACAAUCUACUGGCACAACAGGGCAUCCGAGGCACACAGCGCUUGGCGAACCCUGGAUGCAGGUCCCAGGCCAGGUGGCAUCCACCACCGCCCCCCCCAUCUCCAACUUAGCUCACUGCUACCUGCUUGGGACAAGGCGUAGAUCUAGGGGCUCUACUGAGAAUUCUGUAUUUGAUUUAUUGCCUUGGACAGUGGGGGUGGUCGACAAAGCCAGGACCCUGGAGCUGGACAAACGUGUGGUUUAAACUGACGGUGACAGCUUGAGUCUGUCUCCUGGGGAGAUCAUGGCACCCACCUCGCAGGGCUGUUGUGAGGAUUGAUGUAACCAGGAUUUUGAACUGUGAUUCUGAAAGGGUGUGCGCGUGCCCCCAGGGGUGGGCUGGGGGCGGGAUGACAGGCCGGGAGGGGCAGCCCGAUUUGGGCAGGUUAGCGGGAAAUCAUUUUGUCAAACACGCAGUGGGUAUUGUGGGAACGAAUGCUAAAUUUGUAUGGCGUUCGAAGGUUAGGCAGUUGUAAUUUUGGCAGGAACCUUCGUGCUGGGUAAUGAUGACCCCUUUGGGCAAUGCCCUGGACCCCCUGGGGUACGCGUUCACACCUGUCUCCGGAAUCGGAAUCGGUUGGAAGGCCCCAUCUGUGUCUUGCCUACCGCUGUGUCUGGCCUGUGGGCGGCGCUUAUCCUCCACGAGAGACCCCUCCCAGCAGUGUCCUCCCCCCAAAAUAUUAGGCACCAGCUGUCAAAGACAUUACACCUCUCCCCACUAAUGUCCCCUCUCCCCAUUCACAACAUUUGGGCUCAAAUGUCAGCAGCCUGGGUGCCUAACACAGUACCAGGCCAGUGGUAGGGGGGUCACCUUCCAUUUCCAUUGAAAGGAUGGACAGGUAGAUGGUCAAAUAACAAAAUUGUAACCCAAUGCAAGCGACGGUUGUUUAUAACCUUUACUAAGAGAUUGUAUUUUGUUCCUAAUUAACCUGUUAACAGUUGUUGUAUCUUAUGGACCUUUGUAUGAUGUGUGUUGUUCGAAAACCAGGACUCUUGCUUCGGGUGUCACUUGAUGGAACUUUCGCUGUCCGAUUAACGAGUCAGUGUUUUGUGUUAGAAAUGAGAAUCCGGGGGGGCGCUUAACUAACUGUGUGGUGUUGGGCAAGUCCCUUCUCCUUCCUCUCUGACCCUCGGUCUCCUUUUCUCUAAGCUGUGGGUCACCAGAAAGCUUACCUCACAGGGUUGUUGUGAGGGCCCAGGGCUGCUAAUGAAAUGCUGGCUGUCACUGAGAACGGUCGCGUGUUGGGGGCUGUCUGGAAGGGAACAGGGAUGCCUUUCCUAGUUCCAAGAGAAUAAAAAGUCAGCCUUGACCUUAUGCUAAGAUUGUAUUUCCAACAGUCAGUGGGAUGUGUAAGGCAGAGGCCCAGCAGUCUGCAAGCGUUUAGCGAUGUGGGCCCAGGGUAAAUAUUGGUUUGGUUAAUGAGUGAUGGCUUUUUCCCUUCCUCGGAGCCUCCCUUCCUCUCCCCUCGCAUCCUGGGCUGCUGCUUGUUGCGUGCAGGGUGACUGCUUUGGGUUUGUCCUACCUGUCGCUGCCUGGCCUGUGGAGGGGCUUCUGCAGACGUCUGUGGGUGCCCCGGGGUGUUUCUUAGGGAGGAAGGCAGGGGGACAGUUUCGAGAGAGCCCGAGCAGGGUUUCUGGGUAACAUCUUUAGGGACUAAAACACCUUCUUCUGCCUUUUAAGGGAAAGGCCGGUGCUCCUAAUUUCCUCCGCCCGCUUCCUUCUUUCCCUGACUGUAAGGUAAAUAAAUGAGUCUUCAGCCCCCUCCAUGGGCCUGGAACCAAACUUGGGGCUGUUCCACGCCCACAAGCUCCCUGCUUGAUUGGCGUGUGGGCCCAUUUUACAGAUGAGGAAGUUGAGAAUCAGGGACCGCGGAGUGUCAGAGCCAGGACUGAACAGUCUGCCAUGAAAAGCCGGGGGGCACUCUUUCCACUUGGCCAAACAAGCCCUCCCAGUUACCGUGGCCAGCCUCUGCCAGCCCAAAUGUGCCCCAGUGUGUCUCUGUCCCCACCACACGCCUGGCAGUGCUCCCGUGCAGGUCACGUUCUCCAGAGCUCAGUGGGACCUGGAAACUUGGCCGAAUUAGAUACUGCCCUGCUCUGGAUGAAGUCCCAGGAGACACCCCUGCAGGGGUCAUUUUGGAUCGGGGGUCUCCACGUGACCACGGAAUUCCUUUCCUGGCCCUUGUCUCACAUGUGUGGGACAUCAGUGUUCUGCUAGAAUGGAACCAGAUUCCAUUCCAGGUGGGCUUGAGCUGGGGAUCUCGUUGAGUCCCUCCCUCCUGGCCCCUCCCUCUGUGGAAGCCUCACCACCCUCCUGGUUUGGCCUCUGCCUUUCACAGCUGCAGUGGGCUGUGUCUGCACCAUGGCCACCCCAUGUCCCUGAGAACGUGUCUGAAGCUCCCGAGGGGCGGGCCCCACGCUAGGGACAGGUUGAUAGGGUCCCCCUCCCGGUAGACUGUGGGUCUGUGUGUGGGUGUCUGCUCCCUGAUGGACCUCGGUCCUGUGUGACCCAGGGGGAAGGACUUUCUCAGGUGCCUGGUGUUUUCAGGGCCUCGUCCUCUUGAGGGGGGCAGGCCUGGGUCCCCGCCUCUCUCUGGAGGGCAGAUAGAAAGUCGAAGCUCAGUGAGGUCAUGCCUAAGCAGCUCUUAGACCCCCUCCCUGACUCUGAGACCUAUGCUUCUCUGACCCUCACAGCCCUGCUGUCUACACUAGUAGGUGCCGACUAGGCGCUCGCUGACUGAUAGGGCAGGUUUUAGUGGAUGUGAAAAGCUGAAUUGACUGUUGGCUGACGUACGUGUUGAAUCUGCAUGCGUUUCUGUAAGAGAAAAAGGUGUGUUUUCUUGGCAAAGACUCUUCAGGGCAAAUCCUGAGGGUCUUUGUCUGCGCUGGGGGCUCACCCCAGGGGGUGCAGCCCAGAGGGCGGCCGCCGGACGGACCCUCCUGAUGGAAAUAGCUGUCUUCUGAACAUUGUUGGAAAUAUUUAUAUCUAGAAUAAAACUUUAUUUGGGCUAAAA